rnacentral:rRNA from 1 species
GACGAACGCUGGCGGCGUGCUUAACACAUGCAAGUCGAACGGAAAGGCCCUGCUUUUGUGGGGUGCUCGAGUGGCGAACGGGUGAGUAACACGUGAGUAACCUGCCCCUGACUUUGGGAUAACUUCAGGAAACUUGGGCUAAUACCGGAUAGGAGCUCCUGCUGCAUGGUGGGGGUUGGAAAGUUUCGGCGGUUGGGGAUGGACUCGCGGCUUAUCAGCUUGUUGGUGGGGUAGUGGCUUACCAAGGCUUUGACGGGUAGCCGGCCUGAGAGGGUGACCGGCCACAUUGGGACUGAGAUACGGCCCAGACUCCUACGGGAGGCAGCAGUGGGGAAUAUUGCACAAUGGGCGGAAGCCUGAUGCAGCAACGCCGCGUGCGGGAUGACGGCCUUCGGGUUGUAAACCGCUUUCGCCUGUGACGAAGCGUGAGUGACGGUAAUGGGUAAAGAAGCACCGGCUAACUACGUG